rnacentral:rRNA from 1 species
AGAGUUUGAUUAUGGCUCAGGAUGAACGCUAGCGGCGUGCUAAUGCAUGCAAGUCGAACGGGAUCCUUUGGAUUCGUCUGAAGGUGAGAGUGGCGAACGGGUGAGUAACACGUUGGUGACCUGCCCCAGAGAGGGGGACAACCACUGGAAACGGUGGCUAAUACCCCAGAUGUUCUUGAGUUUAGAAAUCAAGGACUAAAAGCUCCGGCGCUCUGGGAGGGGCCUGCGGCCCAUCAGCUAGUUGGUAGGGUAAUGGCCUACCAAGGCAAAGACGGGUAGGGGGCGUGAGAGCGUGACCCCCCACACUGGUACUGAGACACGGACCAGAUACCUGCGGGUAGCAGCAGCAAGGAAUAUUGCCCAAUGGACGAAAGUCUGAGGCAGCAACGCCGCGUGGAGGAUGAAGGCCUUCGGGUUGUAAACUCCUUUUCUGGGGGAUGAGAAAGGACAGUACCCCAGGAAUAAGUCUCGGCUAACUACGUGCCAGCAGCCGCGGUAAAACGUAGGAGGCGAGCGUUAUCCGGAUUUACUGGGCGUAAAGCGCAUGCAGGCGGUUUUCUAAGUCGGACGUGAAAGCUCUCGGCUCAACUGAGAGAGGCCGUUCGAAACUAGGAGACUUGAGGGUGGUAGAGGAGAGUGGAAUUCCCGGUGUAGUGGUGAAAUGCGUAGAUAUCGGGAGGAACACCAGUGGCGAAGGCGGCUCUCUGGGCCAACCCUGACGCUAAGAUGCGAAAGCUAGGGGAGAGAACGGGAUUAGAAACCCCGGUAUUCCUAGCCGUAAACGAUGUCAACUAGGCGUAGGGGGUUAUUGACCCCCCCUGUGCUGUAGCUAACGCAUUAAGUUGACCGCCUGGGGACUACGGCCGCAAGGCUAAAACUCAAAGGAAUUGACGG